CCCUUCACUCUCCUCAGGGGAGCCUCUUGGAAGCUCUCACACUGCUUCCCCAAAUCUAGUCCUCAUAUGCUCUGAGCUCCUGAGACUUGAAUGUCAUCUAGAAAAAUGUUCCUGUAGAUUCCUGAUCCAGGUGGAGAAGAGCCCUGGGCUGAGGGUUGGAGGCCCAGGUACUCUCCUUUUUACCUCUCUGGGUGGCCCUGGCCUGUUUUAGCCCCUUGCUGAGUCUUGGCUGCCAACUUUUCAAAAUGAGGGUGCCAGAGAAGAUUUGCCACCAGGAGUUCCUGCACUGUGGCUCCUUCAGUGGGGGCAUUCAAGCCUUCAUUGGGGGCAUUCUAAGCCAUUCAUUUCUGCCCCUGGGACAGCUAUCCAGAGGUUAACAACCAGUUGCUUAAACCAGCCUGGCCCUUCAUCUGCACAUGCGUUCAUGUGAUUAAUUCCUGCUUUUUGAGAGUAAUGUUUACUCUGAGAGGGUCCAGAGGUUACCUGAAGUUUUGCAAAAGGGGCAUCAGGCACUCCUUGCUGUUUAGUGCAAAGGCCAGCUGCCUGCUAUGGUCCUUCAUUGACCCAGCUUUCUGGGGAGCUGGAGUGUCCCCACACGUCCCUGGUGUCCAAAGCUAAGUUAAGGAAGAAAUCCUUGAAAUUCUUGCCCCCUCCCUCACCUUCUCUCUCUCUCCUCUCUCUCUCCCCUUCUCUCUCUCCCCCUUGCUGGGGUGGAAUCUGGGCCAUUGCAGGUCUAUGGAAACACCGGAGGGAUCCAAUCCACCCCUCUUAGACUGGGAACAGAAACCAGGAAUCCACAGACAGAAUCAGAAGCGUUUAAGUAAAAGCAAGAGGCUUUGAUCCAAAUGGAGAGUUCCUUCCUUCCUUCCUGCUGGACUCACCUUCCUUUUCCCUGGGACACCCCCCUCCCAUCCCUCCUCAGCAUGGUGG
rnacentral:lncRNA from 1 species